GCUAGGUUUGCCACAACAUGCUCUUGGGUAAACAGAACUUGAGAUUGUUGGAGUACAGCCCGUCUCUAAGGGUUGCCCCUUUCUGUUUCCAGCUUCGCAUAUCUUCAGGAUCAGCAGCCGCUUGUUGUCUCUUCAGGAGCUUGAGAUCUGUGGGUAGGGUCUGCAUAAUGAAUGAGAGUUUCUUCAGCGGACACUUUUCUGUCCACUUCCCUUGGUGCACGUGCAGCUUGUUUGGCAGCUUGAUCAGCUAGAUAGUUG